GCAGAAUUCGAAGGGGAAGGGGAGAGGAACAAUGGAGUCGACGAUGGUGGGGGUGCAGCUGGGAUUGUUGACUUGGACGUGUGGCAGCAAGAUGGCUUCGAUGGGAGAGGAGGCAGCGGAUGGUGGGGCGAUAGGCGGUCGUUGAUGCUGAGGUUGACACGAGCAGCUCCGUGGCAGCAUAUAAGGAGGGAUGGAGCAGCAGAUUCGAAGGGGGAAUUGGCUGAGGCGCUGGCAGAGAGAGACGGACGAAGAAAGGCGCUGCUUCGGUGGAAGAAUAAAAGAAGAUGAGCUGC
rnacentral:lncRNA from 1 species